AAGGAAUAUUGGUCAAUGGACGAAAGUCUGAACCGGCCAUCCCGCGUGCAGGAUGACUGCCCUAUGGGUUGUAAACUGCUUUUAGUAGAGAAGAAACGCAGUCAUUUAUGAUUGCCUGACGGUACCUACAGAAUAAGCACCGGCUAACUCCGUGCCAGCAGCCGCGGUAAUACGGAGGGUGCGAGCGUUAUCCGGAAUCACUGGGUUUAAAGGGUGCGUAGGCGGGGAAUUAAGUCAGUGGUGAAAUCUUGUCGCUUAACGAUAAAAUUGCCAUUGAUACUGAGUUUCUUGAAUUGGGUUGAGGUUAGCGGAAUGUGACAUGUAGCGGUGAAAUGCAUAGAUAUGUCAUGGAACACCAAUUGCGAAGGCAGCUAGCUGGGCCUUGAUUGACGCUGAGGCACGAAAGCGUGGGUAGCGAAC
rnacentral:rRNA from 1 species